rnacentral:lncRNA from 1 species
GGAAAUGGAGGAGUGCACCAUUCUGAAGAAAUCGUAGCCCAAAAAUCGACGACGUCUAUAGUUAUUUACACAUCGGGGCCCCUCCAAAACUGACGUGUAACCCUUUUGGCAUCCGACUAUAAGGGGGUCUCUAAGAGGUAUUUAGACGUUAGGGUUACGGGUGCCGACGUAUAAGGGCAAUCGAACAGUAACUUUUUACCUACCUCUACAGGCCAUUUGGCGUCCGUUGAUGGGGGGCCGACGUCUAAGGGCUAUUUAGACGCCGGGUUGGUGGGAUCGAACUUCUAAGUAGCGAAAAAAUGACUUUUUGCAUUCUGGUAGGCCAUUUUGACGUCCAAUGAGGGAGUUAGACGUCUAAAUGGCCCCUAGACGUCGGGGUUUCUCAUGUCGGACAUCUAAGACCAAUUAAAAAAUAAUUUCUAGCAUAUUUUUGGCGUCCAUUUGGGGGGAACUGACAUGAUCAUGGGUUUAGACGUCGGACCCCCCCAAUCCGAGGUCUAAAUUGUAAUUUUAUUUACGAAAAUGCCAUCGGUCAUUUUUUUUGUUGGAUGUUAGGGGAUUCGACGUCUAAGGAGUGACAUUAAAGGUCUUUUCUGCACUAGUGGUCGUCUCCUAGCUUCGCCCUCUGCAUAACUCUCUCCUCAAGAACUCUCUCCAUGAGAACUAAAAGAUGCACC